AGAGUUUGAUCCUGGCUCAAAUGAACGCUGGCGGCACGCUUUACACAUGCAAGUCGAACGGCAGCACGGGGGCAACCCUGGUGGCGAGUGGCGAACGGGUGAGUAAUACAUCGGAACGUAUCCUUGAGUGGGGAAACGCAGCGAAGUUGUGCUAAUACCGCAUGAACUCUAAGAAGAAGUGGGGACCGUAAGGCCUCACGCUGAGGGGCGGCCGAAGUCCGAUUACUAGUUGGUGAGGUAAAGGCUCACCAAGGGCUUCGAUCGGUAGCUGGUCUGAAGGAUGAUCAGCCACACUGGGACUGAGACACGGCCCAGACUCCUACGGGAGGCAGCAGUGGGGAAUUUUUGGACAAUGGGGGCAACCCUGAAUCAGCCAUGCCCGCGUGAGUGAAAAAGGGGCUUCGGGGGUUGUAAAGCUCUUUCGUGAGGGAAAAAACGGCCAUAGUGAAUAGCUGUGGUUACUGACGGUACCUCAAGAAGAAGCACCGGCUAACUACGUGCCAGCCGCCGCGGU
rnacentral:rRNA from 1 species